CACGUAGGGCGCAAGCGUUUGUCCGGAAUUAUUGGGCGUAAAGAGCUCGUAGGCGGUCUGUUGCGUCUGCUGUGAAAACCCGGGGCUUAACCCCUGGCUUGCAGUGGAUACGGACAGACUAGAGGUAGGUAGGGGAGAAUGGAAUUCCCGGUGUAGCGGUGAAAUGCGCAGAUAUCAGGAGGAACACCGGUGGCGAAGGCGGGUCUCUGGGCCGAUACUGACGCUGAGGAGCGAAAGCGUGGGGAGCGAACAGG
rnacentral:rRNA from 1 species